CGUAGGGCGCGUAGCGUUGUCCGGAUUUAUUGGGCGUAAAGAGCUCGUAGGCGGCUUGUUGCGUCGACCGUGAAAACCCGCGGCUUAACUGCGGGCUUGCGGUCGAUACGGGCGGGCUGGAGUUCGGUAGGGGAGACUGGAAUUCCUGGUGUAGCGGUGAAAUGCGCAGAUAUCAGGAGGAACACCGGUGGCGAAGGCGGGUCUCUGGGCCGAUACUGACGCUGAGGAGCGAAAGCGUGGGGAGCGAACAGGAUUAGAUACCCUGGUAGUCCACGCUGUAAACGUUGGGCGCUAGGUGUGGGGGGCCUCUCCGGUUUCCUGUGCCGCAGCUAACGCAUUAAGCGCCCCGCCUGGGGAGUACGGCCGCAAGGCUA
rnacentral:rRNA from 1 species